GAUGAACGCUGGCGGUAUGCCUAAUACAUGCAAGACGUGCGGAAAGGUCCCUUCGGGGAUACUCGAGCGGCGGACGGCAGAGUAACGCGUAGGAACAUACCCCAAACUGAGGGAUAACUGCUCGAAAGAGUAGCUAAUACCGCAUGUGGUCUUCGGACUAAAGCUUCGGCGGUUUGGGAGUGGCCUGCGUUCGAUUAGCUAGUAGGCGGGGUAAUGGCCCACCUAGGCGACGAUCCCUAGCUGGUCUGAGAGGAUGACCAGCCACACUGGAACUGAGACACGGUCCAGACUCCUACGGGAGGCAGCAGUGGGGAAUAUUGCACAAUGGGCGCAAGCCUGAUGCAGCCAUGCCGCGUGUACGAAGAAGGCCUUCGGGUUGUAAAGUACUUUCAGCGGGGAGGAAGGCGGUGAGGUUAAUAACCUCGCCGAUUGACGUUACCCGCAGAAGAAGCACCGGCUAACUCCGUGCCAGCAGCCGCAGUAA
rnacentral:rRNA from 1 species